rnacentral:rRNA from 1 species
CCUACGGGAGGCAGCAGUAGGGAAUCUUCCACAAUGGACGAAAGUCUGAUGGAGCAACGCCGCGUGAACGAUGAAGGCUUUCGGGUCGUAAAGUUCUGUUGUAAGGGAAGAACAAGUGCCGCAGGCAAUGGCGGCACCUUGACGGUACCUUGCGAGAAAGCCACGGCUAACUACGUGCCAGCAGCCGCGGUAAUACGUAGGCGGCAAGCGUUGUCCGGAAUUAUUGGGCGUAAAGCGCGCGCAGGCGGCCUCUUAAGUCUGAUGUGAAAGCCCCCGGCUCAACCGGGGAGGGCCAUUGGAAACUGGGAGGCUUGAGUAUAGGAGAGAAGAGUGGAAUUCCACGUGUAGCGGUGAAAUGCGUAGAGAUGUGGAGGAACACCAGUGGCGAAGGCGAUUCUUUGGCCUAUAACUGACGCUGAGGCGCGAAAGCGUGGGGAGCAAACAGGAUUAGAUACCCUGGUAGUCCACGCCGUAAACGAUGAGUGCUAGGUGUUGGAGGGUUUCCGCCCUUCAGUGCUGAAGCUAACGCAUUAAGCACUCCGCCUGGGGAGUACGGUCGCAAGGCUGAAACUCAAAUGAAUUGACGG